AGGCUAGUCUUGAACUCUUGGCCUCAGGCAAUCUUCCUGCCUUUACCUCCGGAGACAAUGGGAUUACAGACAUGAGCCACCAUGCCCAGUGACGAAACUUCAGCUUUAAGAGGUUAAAAGACUUGUCCAGAGUCAUGUUAACAGGUAAAUCUACUGUGAAUGUUAUGAGCCAAGCCCAGAUCACCAACUUCAAACAGAAUUGGAGGUACCUGUAGAGAGUUACGCUGGCAGACAGGCUUUUACUAAAGCCAGCAGAGCAGAGCUACAGCUUCAGACACAGCCAAGUAUAAUGCUCUUGCUUCAUGAAGCCAAACAGCCACUUUCUUCUCUGGAAUGUUAAUCUGCUCUUAUUGGAGUUAGCAACCCCAGGAGGAUCGCUUCCUGAUUUGUCUUAUCCAGAAAAAAAAAAAACAAAAAAACCUCCUCUUUCCCACCUCUGGAGUGCUGUGAAUACUCAGAAGGGAUAGACACAUCACCACUGAGAAUUCCCACAUUUCCUUAUGCUGCUGCUCUAAGAGGAUAUGAAAGAUUCUGUUUUAAUCUAAACAAAAACUGAAAAGGGAAGAGGCAAAUUUUUGUGUUGAUGCACAUUUUCUUUCUCAUAUUUAGCUAAAAUUUACCUCUAAUUACUCCUUUAAGAAAUAAAUGAGUUAGGCAUAAUGUCUUCCAAUGUCCCUCCAGUUGUAUCACAAUUAUCAUGAAUCAUCAUAGUGGUUCCUUUGUCCUUGAGGAAUUUAUUUAAUUCAUAGACACUAUUACUUUGCUUUCAUGCAAAGUAUGUGAAUCAUGUAAUUCAUGUGAAUCAAGGUCUAGGAAAACAGAGGGAGUUUAUCACAUAAACAUAGAAAAGUUAUUUAUCUUACUUAACUUAUAAGAAAUGCAAAUUUUUUAAUCUUGAGAUUUCCAAGGCAGUUUUUAAAGUAUGCAUCAAAGAAGGCACACAGUUUAUACAAAUAUUUUCAUCCUCUUUGGUUUGUUAUAGUACCAAGGUAGUACAAAGGGUGAAUUACCUCUACACUUGUUUCAUGUCUGUCCCUCCUACUGAGGCAUUAAUAGAUGUGAUACCAUGAGUACUGCAUUGUUAAUACUCAGCUUCGUCUCUAGAGCUCAGAAAAUGCUCUUCUCAAAUUCAUACAGAACAUUCUUAUAUAGGUUAUGCUCUACCUACUGCAUUUGUAAUGAAAAAUAUGUAUCUACACCAAAAUCCUGCUUCUUCAGAAGGAAACAACAAAAUGAGCCUUCCAUAACAACAAAAAUUAAUUGCAACCAAUCUUGAAAUAUCUUGACAUGAAAUGUUGGAAAUUUCUUAGAAUAUCUGAACAUUUUAUUUGCUUGAAAUAUGUUUUUCAAGUAAAAGACAUAUGAUGAAAAAAAGACAUAUGAUGAUAUUUGUACCUAAAUAAUUCACUUAUGGAUACAUUUACUUGUAUCCUUAUUUGAAGAUAUAAUAUUAACAUUGAAAAUAGUAUGCAUGUAUAAUUUCACCAUAAAAAUUAGUGUAAUACCAUAUAGAGAAACAAAGAUUUCAUCCUUCCUUAGUGAAUCUGAAGAACUUCAAAACCAAAAAGAACUCUUCUGAUUUUUAAAAGUUAUAGUCAGCCAGGCACUGUGGCUCAUGCCUAUAAUCCUAGCACUUUGGGAGACCAAGGUGGGCAGAUGGCCUGAGCUCAGGAGUUUGAGACCACCAUGGACAACAUAGUGAAACCCCGUCUCUACUAAAAUACAAAAAAUUAGCCGGGUAUGGUGGCACGUGCCUGUAGUCUCAGUUACUCAAGAGGCUGAGGCACGAGAAUUGCUUGAACCUAGGAGAGAAUGAUAGGAAUUUGAAAGUUACUUUAUUUUUCUAGUUUAUAUUCCUUUAAAGACUACAUUCAGAAUUAAAGACGAGAAGCUCAAAGCAGACAGGAGGUGACUUUGUUUUAAUAGCUCGAUAGGUUGAAGAGAUAAAAAAGUAAAUCUACUUAUAAAAUAUAGAGAUUUAGUUUAUGCAAAAAUCAUGUGCAGCUUAUAAACUGUGUCUCAAUGAGAUCAUGCAAUGUCAUUUGACUGUUAGGAAUCUCUAAUCAGAAAUAAUCAUAUAAAUAGCCAAGAAACAAACAAACAAACAAAAACAAGGAAAAGUAAACAGUCUUGCUCAUCAAAAUAAUGGGUAAUGUAUAUGGAAGGAAAAAACAGCAGAAACAAAAUAUGGUCAGAAUAUAUAAAAAGAAAGAAUACUUCAGAACAAUAAAAUUUUAUUGAACAGGUUCUCGAAAUGGGGCACUUUGAAACUUUUAAGAACAUCCUUGUAGAUGUAUUAUUUCGGAUUUGGUUUUCCAAAUAUUUAACACAUUUCAUAUGCAAUUAAUUAUCUAUGAAGCUUUUUUAUCAAAGUUUUCACUCUAUUUAAAUAAUGUUAUCAGAACUUUAAAAAAUAUUUAGUGUACUACAACUCAAGCAUUGAUUUGUGCUGUUCUCAAUUUCCUAAAAAUCUCAACUCAUAUACAUCAAAAUCAUAAUCAUUUCAAAGUGACUAAAAACAUGGACAUAAUGAUAAGGUUUCACAAAUGACAGAAAGUUUUACUGUCUAACAAGACCACAGCAAGGUUUUUUAAGUGUAUGGGAGUUGAUUUAAGUCUCUGUAGAUAGCCAGUUUGGAUUGAGAAGGAAAACGUUCCAUCAAAAACUCAGCACACAAUCUUUUGAGAACAUUCUGCUUAUGAAGUCCUGUACUUGAUACUUUAGCACAUUCAAAAGUCUGAAGAGAGAAAAAAAUACAAAAAAAAUAAAAUAAAAUAAAUAAAUAACACAAAAGUCUGAAGAGAUUGUAGAAUAACAAGGCAAUUACAAGUGCCUAAGCAAAUGCUACUUAUGCUAAAUAGCAUAUGCCAUAAGGCCAAAAACAAAUUAAAAUUUAAUUAAAUGUAACAAUAUUAGUUUAUUAAUGCAUAAAAAUAAAUAUACUUGAAGACAAAUUUUAUUGAGUAGGAAUUAUCAGAAUAGUCUAGUUUGAAACUUUGAAAAGCAUCCUUUUAGAUUUAUUGUAUUAUUUUGGGUUUAGGUUUGUAAAUUUCAACACAUACCGUAUGUAUUUAAUUACCUAUUAAUCUAACUACCCCAUCCCCCAACCCCAUCAAGCAAUACUCAAUUUUACCCUUGUGGUAAUUCAUGAACAUGUGCAUCGAUUGUGGUCUGUUUAGUGUUGUGGUUUUUUGCAUUUUUGUCAUUUUUGUUACGGACAUGACUGUUUAAAAUGGCCCCCUACUGUAGUACUAAAGAGCUGUUUAGUGUUCCUAAGCACAAGAAAGCUAGCACCUCAUGGAGAUAUAUGUUAGAUAUGCUUCAUUCAGGCAUAAGUUAUAUACUACCGGUAGCCCUAAAUUCUAUGUUAAUGAAUCAACAAAAUAUUAAAUAUAGUGUUUUUAAGCAGAAAUACAAAUAAAACAAGGUUAGGUAUUGAUAUGUUGAUAAAAAUGUAAAAAAUGUGACCUGAGGCUCACAGGAACCUAAUCCUGCAUUUCUCCUAGGAGCAACGACUCCGUUUUAGCUACAUCAGUGUUCACAAUGACUUUAGAGAGCAUAACCACUAAUACUGAGAAUUGACUGUGUAUCUAUGUCUGUAUAUGUGUUUGUGUGUAUACACAGGUUCUUUUUUAAAAAAUAAAACAAAAUCCAGAAGUUAUCAAACUUGAAAACUACUUCAAAUUCUACUAUUUGGGAAAAUAUUAUAGGAGAAAAGCAGAAAUAACAUUGGAUUUUAAUUGUGCAUAAUAUUUUUAGCCAUUGAAAUUUCCAUAAGGAGUUUUAGCACAUGCAGUUAAUUUGCAUGAGAGACAGCUGGAGCAUAUUGGCUCUUUCAAAGCCACUAUGAUUUAUCAACUCAAUAAUGCAUGAGCUUAGACAAAGUUAUACAAGUGUCUGUAUUUUUAACAAGGUGAUAGAGUAAGAAAUUUGCUAAAGCAGCCAUUCCAGACCCAGGUGACUAAAAGAAGGUUAGAUCAUUUAUACAAACUGGAACACAAUUUUACAGUCCUGCUUUAUUUUUGGCCUUGGGUUUUUUUUCCUGAAAAUAAUAUUUUGUUUGGAAAAAGUGCCAAACUUAAAAACAGACAGUUUGGGACACAGAAGUCAUGUGUUCUUAUAAGCUAUUAUUACAAUAUGGAGAGAGUCAAAUUAAGAUCUCUACUAAAGUUACCUCUGGAAUUAGAUUCAACUUGCAGAGGCAGCCUCUAAAAAAAACUAAUUAUUUUUCUCUGUUUAUUCAAAGAAAUUGAAUGGUCUUUAUUUAAUAAACUCCAAAUGGCAAAAAUGGUUCAUAGGAAAUGUCUCUUUUUUAGAUUCAAGUCUCUUUUAUGGUCUUUGUCAGGAUUUGAGGAGAAUGAAGCUAGAUACAAUUAAGAAGUUAUUGUGUAAGAAGAAAAAGAAACAAACUUUUUUCUACCUUUAUCAUAAGGUUGUCACAGGGGGUGCCCAUGAUAUAAUUCUCCUGACAUCGUUGAAAUUAUUACUUGGUUUCUGUUUUUAAAAAAGAAGCUAUUGUUAUAGUAGACACAUAGGUUACAAAAGCUCUAUACAUGGACUUUGAAGUCAUGUAGCAACAUAGAAAAUAUAAAGCAAAUAGAAUUUAAAACAUUGUAAAUGAAAAGAUACUGUUAUGACUUAGUAUUCAAUGAUUACUGGGAUAAAAAGGAAAGAAAUUAUUUGAAGACUCAGUUUCUGUGCCUAGGUGACUAGAAGAAUAACUGUAUCUAUUUUUAGAACAAAUAGAAAAGUUUAAAUUUAACCAUUAUAACUAAUUUUGGGCAUCCAUUAGAACUCAUUUUGGGCAUUCACAUCUACAGGUCAUAAAUUUCAAUAUCCAACAUGCUAACUCUACAAGAUAUCAAAUGUCUAUCUUAUUCAGACUUCUACCAUGUCCCCGCUAAUGAGAUACAAGAAGAAGGAUAAUAAAGAAUAAAUUUCAUGAGAAUCAUUUGCAUCCAGUCAUCUUCCUUGCCAGAAUGUCUUGGACUGGUAGGUUGAAGCCAGGAAUUGGCCGACAGCAUCAAACAAUAAGUUUGCUGAUGUGAGGCCAAAAGUUCUAGUAAGCCUCCCACUGAAAAAGGCUACUGAAGUGUACAAAUAAAUCAAGUAUCAAGUUAUAAACUUACUUUGUGUCAGUUAGCCCAAUCUUACUUCAAAUGCCAAGUCAAGUGAGGACAGGGGAACCAGAAACGGUAUACUACACAGUAACCAGAGGAGUAACUGGAAAAACACCUCCUCCUCAAUAGUUAGGUUUGGAGAGGCAUCCAUACUGUCAGAGUUUAGAAUUAAGGUAUAUUACCUAUAACCAUGUACAAAUCCCUUAUUUUAUAGAUGAGAAAACUGAGAUUCAAUGUUGUACAUUUAAUCAGUGCAGAGGUGAAAAUAAGAACCAAGUCCUCAAACUCAUACAGUCUCAAAAUUGAACAAUCUCUUUAAGAGAUCAACCACUCUUGGCUGGGCGCAGUGGCUCACGCCUGUAAUCCUAGCACUUUGGGAGGCUGAGGUGGGCGUAUCACCUGAGGUCAAGAAAUCGAGAC
rnacentral:lncRNA from 10 species